rnacentral:lncRNA from 1 species
CUAGAUGUUGCCGCGACGUCUCACGCGAUGCAUGAUUCGGUGAAGCACCUAAACCAUGGACGCAUGCGCGACUCGAAUCCGAGAUGACAGGUUGAUGAAUUUAUAAUUUACUAUUGAUGUGAUUCGGUUGAUGGCAUGUAUAUAGAUAUGGUGUAUAUUGGUGAUUGAUAUGCGUGACUGCGAUAGUUCAUUUACGUGUCGCGAGGGUAGUUCGCCGAUAUAUUAAUUGAUUGUUAAAAUGCUUCGUCGUAAAAUAAUGUGUUUGUGCGGCAAAGUUAAUGAAGCGUAAAGCAUACUUGGUGGUUUCCGCAAUCGACUAAUGAGUUGGUCUAGGAUAAUUAUAUUUAUGUAUUCAUCGUUGGUGUGGGUUAAAUUAGGUGAAAAUGUAAAUUAAGUGACAUUUAUUUGGUGUCGGAAGGUGAGAUAGGUUAAUUUAGAAAGGUGAGUUAUUAAACAGGUGUAUACCGGAGUGCAUUAUAGUGGUAAUUGCGUUAAGUUAAUUGGUAGUGUCUCGAGUGCACGCCAUAAUAUGGUUGUAUGCGAGACAUAGUAAAAUAAGGUGUGCUCGAUGGGGAUGAUCAGUCGUUGUAGGUGGAGAUUGUCUUUGCUUAAAUAGAGAGGUGGUGACAUGCCGAAGUAGUCAUCGCUUCCUCUAUGUUUAUAUGUCGAGUCAAAAUGCGGGGUACUAGUGGUACGCUAAGCGGUGCUCCAAAUAAAUUAACCAGUUAAGGCGAAAUCUGUCGUGCGUGAUUUAUUGUUGGAGAGUAGUUUGAAUUACGAGUUAUAUGAGGAUUAUGUUAGAAACUAGUAUGCGGCGUGUCACUGUGCUCGAGAUGUGAAUAAUAUAUCAGUAGGUAUUGUUGGUGUCAUUAGCAAGUGUGAUGAUCUUAGUUGUGCGAUAAAUUUUGAAGGGUGAAGAACAUGUCUAGAAUGUCGAUUAGGUUAACCGAUAGUUUCCGUAAAUAUGCUUGUGAUGCUUUUAUGUGCAUGAUAAGCUCGAUGCCUUAUCGUCGUAGUCUUUGGAAAUUUUCUGAAAUAUGCUAGUGCUCCACUGAUGGGUUGAAUAGCGGGUUGUGUCGUUUCUCUAGCUAGCCGACUCGUUAGAUGACUUUAGUUAAGCUUGUAGUCACGGUAAAUUGCUUGUUGUGCUCUAAAUGUGUAUGGUUAUGGUCGCGGGUAAAAAUUAGUGGUGCUCAUGUGAUGUCUAAGUUAAAAUGCGAACUAGUGGGUGAAAAGCGCUUCGAUAUACCUAUAUGUCGGAUUUGAUGAUUGUGGUGAAUGCGUUGAUUAAUUGUGCAUGGUAGUUCUAGAGCGCAAAAUAACUUGUAUAAAAAUUAGUAGGUCUACUUGUUAGUCCUCAUUUGAUUAAUUUUAACUCUAACAAAUGUCAAAGUGUUAUAAUAAUUCAAGUCUCUAGAACGCGGCGAUUCUUGAAUUAUAUAGGAGCUGAAAUUUGUUGAUUGCUGUUUUGGACUGCACGCGCUGUUUUAGUUGUGCUGUAUGUUUGAUGAACUAAAUUGUGUUUUUCUAUAGAUAUAUGCUAUAGAAAAGUGGUAGAUAACUUUAUUAUCUUAUUGGUGUUAAAAUUUGACAGCCAUAGGUCUGACAGUUUAUGAGUUAUGCUUUUUACAAAUUCAGUAACUGAAUCUGUCCACUUUCUGUACAGAUUUCAGAAACUGCACUGUUUGCUUAAGUUAAUGUUACAAUCUGUUCAUAGUCAUUAUAAGAAAGUUGUAGGUGCUUUUCUUAUCUUGUGUUAAAAUUUCAUAACCACAGGCCUGAUAGUUUAAGAGUUAUGAAUUUUACAAACUGCUUGCUGUGUUCUGUUCACCGUCAGAACAGAUUUCGAAAACUGUGUUGGUUGAUUUAGUUAAACAUUGAAUCACUUCUUAGUGAUUAUAAAAGUUAUGUGGUGCUUUUGCUGAGCUUUCCAAAAAGUUUUAGAUCACUCUUUUUGGUGGUCUGAAGCUUAAGUUGUGAAUGUUUCAAAUAUGAAGACUGAAUCUGUCCAGUUCUGGACAGCAAAGUCUUUUAGUGAUGUUUAUCCUUAGUUAAAUAUUGAAUCACCUUGUGAUGUUUAUAAAUAAUUUGUAGAACAUUUAAUUAGAUUUCCAGAAUGUCUAGGAUCACUUUGUUUGGAUGUCUGAAUCUGUAGUUGUGAAUUUUUGAAGUCACAAGUCUGAAUAUGUCCAAAUCUGGACAGAGCUGUUGUGUUUGCACAAUUCGACCUUGCUAAGUGUUUAAUCAUGUUGUGAUGACAAUACCAAAGUUGUAGAAUACUUUUUAAGCUUUCCAGAAAGUCCUAGUUUGAUAUUUUUGUACUAAUAAUUAAAGAGUUAUGAUUAAAACAAGUGACUGUUGUAUUGCUGUCCAAAAAUUCUGCUAGUGCUUAUUUGAUUGUUAGUUCACCCUUUUGGCUAAAAAUGGUUGGUUAGCACUAAAUUCAUGUCGAAUUGCCAUGGCUAAGCUUGAGAUAACAUAUGUGUCAUGUUUUUAUACGUUUCUUUCUCUAGUUAAUUGUGAUGUAGUAUUGUGUUGUGUAAAUAUCCAAAGUGUUUGUCGUCUUUUUAGUGGCGUUAAUGUUGUGCGCUCGAUGAUAUGUAGUUAGCUAACACUAGUGUGUGUGGUUGCUUGUGAUGUCUCGCUACUUAGUGUUUAAUUCGCUAGCGUGUACUUAAAGUAUCUUGUGCUAUUCUAUUAUAUUCAUACAUAUGCAUCUUGCAUCUCAUAUAGGACCGAGAGAUGAUGAUCGAGCAACUGAUGUGGUGCCAACCACAAGACGCAGUUGGUGGACGACCUGAAGAAUGGACUUAUCCAGUAGAUGCUCGCCAAGCGAGUGCCCCCCAGCAAACACUAUCUAAGUGUUAAAUUAAAGGCAAG